CUUGAGUUUGUGACAAAGGCCCUCAGUUGACAAUGCUUAGAACACAACUUCUAGCCAGGAAGUGGGUCCAGAAGAAUCAGCAGUUGUCAUCAUUUCAGGAUAACCAAAAAUUGGCUGUGGCCUCUUUGUUUCCAUUAUGUUCAAGGUGAGGAAGAGUACUGAAGACACAGGCAAUUCAAACAUUCCAGAAAAGCUGUCAGAGAACUUUUUUAAACAAAG
rnacentral:lncRNA from 1 species